AGUUCGGGAAGGCAGCGGGGUAGUGCUUGCACUACUGCCGGCGAGUGGCGAACGGGUGAGUAACAUAUCGGAACGUACCGGGCAGUGGGGGAUAACUGAUCGAAAGAUCAGCUAAUACCGCAUAUUUUCUGAGGAAGAAAGCAGGGGACCAUUUGGCCUUGCGCUAUCCGAGCGGCCGAUAUCUGAUUAGCUUGUUGGCGGGGUAAGGGCCCACCAAGGCGACGAUCAGUAGCGGGUCUGAGAGGACGAUCCGCCACACUGGGACUGAGACACGGCCCAGACUCCUACGGGAGGCAGCAGUGGGGAAUUUUGGACAAUGGGCGCAAGCCUGAUCCAGCCAUGCCGCGUGUCUGAAGAAGGCCUUCGGGUUGUAAAGGACUUUUGUCGGGGAAGAAAAGGCUGUUGCUAAUAUCAGCGGCUGAUGACGGUACCCGAAGAAUAAGCACCGGCUAACUACGUGCCAGCAGCCGCGGUAAUACGUAGGGUGCGAGCGUUAAUCGGAAUUACUGGGCGUAAAGCGGGCGCAGACGGUUACUUAAGCAGGAUGUGAAAUCCCCGGGCUCAACCCGGGAAUUGCGUUCUGAACUGGGUGGCUAGAGUGUGUCAGAGGGAGGUAGAAUUCCACGUGUAGCAGUGAAAUGCGUAGAGAUGUGGAGGAAUACCGAUGGCGAAGGCAGCCUCCUGGGAUAACACUGACGUUCAUGCCCGAAAGCGUGGGUAGCAAACAGGAUUAGAUACCCUGGUAGUCCACGCCCUAAACGAUGUCGAUUAGCUGUUGGGCAGCCUGACUGCUUGGCUACCGAAGCUAACGCGUGA
rnacentral:rRNA from 1 species